GAUGAACGCUGGCGGCGUGCCUAAUACAUGCAAGUCGAACGAAACUUCUUUAUCACCGAGUGCUUGCACUCACCGAUAAAGAGUUGAGUGGCGAACGGGUGAGUAACACGUGGGCAACCUGCCCAAAAGAGGGGGAUAACACUUGGAAACAGGUGCUAAUACCGCAUAACCAUAGUUACCGCAUGGUAACUAUGUAAAAGGUGGCUAUACUACCGCUUUUGGAUGGGCCCGCGGCGCAUUAGCUAGUUGGUAGGGUAAAGGCUUACCAAGGCAAUGAUGCGUAGCCGAAUUGAGAGGUUGAUCGGCCACAUUGGGACUGAGACACGGCCCAAACUCCUACGGGAGGCAGCAGUAGGGAAUCGUCCACAAUGGGCGAAAGCCUGAUGGAGCAACGCCGCGUGGGUGAAGAAGGUCUUCGGAUCGUAAAACCCUGUUGUUAGAGAAGAAAGUGCGUGAGAGUAACUGUUCACGUUUCGACGGUAUCUAACCAGAAAGCCACGGCUAACUACG
rnacentral:rRNA from 1 species